rnacentral:rRNA from 1 species
GACAUGAAGUCAAGUCAGCAAACCCGCUGAAUUUAA